GAUGAACGCUGGCGGCGUGCCUAAUACAUGCAAGUCGAGCGAACAGACGAGGAGCUUGCUCCUCUGACGUUAGCGGCGGACGGGUGAGUAACACGUGGAUAACCUACCUAUAAGACGGGGAUAACUUCGGGAAACCGGAGCUAAUACCGGAUAAUAUAUUGAACCGCAUGGUUCAAUAGUGAAAGACGGUGUUGCUGUCACUUAUAGAUGGAUCCGCGCCGCAUGAGCUAGUUGGUGAGGUAACGGCUUACCAAGGCAACGAUGCGUAGCCGACGUGAGAGGGUGAUCGGCCACACGGGAACGGAACCACGGACCAGGCUACUACGGGAGGCAGCAGUAGGGAAUCUGACGCAACGGGCGAAAGCCUGACGCAGCAACGGCGAGUCAGUGACGAAAGCCUCCCGAGCGUAAAACCCGCUUAUUAGGGAUGAACAACUGUGUAAGUAACUAUGCACGUCUUGACGGUACUUAAUCAGAAAGCCACGGCUAACUACGUG
rnacentral:rRNA from 1 species